CGUACCCGGUUAAACUCCACUAGCAGUUUCGGUAUAUAGUACCGCAUCCGGAGUUGAGCCACCACUGUUCUGUGGCUCUGAUGACAAAAGCGCUCGUGGAAGUCUCUGAUGAUCAGAUCUGUGACGGGGUGUCUUCUUGGCAAAAGCUUGUAGAGCACACUGUUCCGGUUAAUCGCCUGUUUCCAAGGAUGUUUCUUCCGCGCAUCGCUGCGCAGGCAUUUAAUAUCGGCAGCAAACCCUUCCGACUGCACCAACGUGUAGAGUGUCCGUUCCGCAGCUAGCAGUUCAUCCUGUGUCAGUGGCCCUGUUACCUUCUUCACUUGCCUAAUCCGUCGCCGAGUGUUCCCGAUAUACCGAAGAACAUAACCGACCGCUCUCAAUAGUUUCUUCCAGCGUGAGAAACGAGUGAAGUCGACUACAACAUCAACCACGAUUCCCACAGGAACCCUGGCCCUCGGAACCAUCUGCUGGAUGAGGUUAAGUCCGGAACUCCCUGCCACUUCGUCCCGUCAUCCGCUACGUUGACCUUAGUGGAAAGCCACCGCCACUCGUUAAUCUCUGUCGUCUCGACCAGCUCACUCACCCGAAAGGCGACAAACGUGCUGUAUCGCCUAUGGUCCGAUCGUAUCCAGCUCACAACGUUCCGCGAGUCCGUCCAGAACACCCUCCUGGUAACCUUCAACCGAUGCGUCUUGAUGAUGUGCUCCGCGAAUCGUGCUCCUAUCACCGCCGCUUGAAGCUCCAACCUUGGUAUGGAUAAAAGUUUCAGCGGUGCGACUCGUGUUUUGGACCCAAUUAAAGCACACUCUACUAUCCCGUCUUCCUCGAAACGCAGACACACAUAACGUUUGAGAGCCAUUUCGCGAUUGCAUGGUAGGCGCACGUCGUCAUACUUCCACAAUAGGGACGUUUGAUACCGGUCACCUAUCAAUUUAGUUCCGGUAUUCAGCAUCUCAACCGCGCGUUCUUCUUCCUUCGGUAUCAGUUUGCGGGAAGCGGUGACUCCAAUGGAAUCCAGAGAGAAGUACGCUUUUAAUGCCAUGUCCAGCUUCUGACUAUUUUCCUCGU